rnacentral:rRNA from 1 species
AGGACCCGUCUUGAAACACGGACCAAGGAGUCUAACAUGUGCGCGAGUCAUUGGGACUGUAAAGCCUAAAGGCGCAAUGAAAGUAAAGGUCGAUCUUAGCGUCGACCUAGGGAGGAUGACUCGGCUCACGUUGCCGAGCCCGCACUCCCGGGGCGUCUCGUGCUCAUUACGAGCAGAGGCGCACCCAGAGCGUACACGUUGGGACCCGAAAGAUGGUGAACUAUGCCUGGUCAGGACGAAGUCAGGGGAAACCCUGAUGGAGGUCCGUAGCGAUUCUGACGUGCAAAUCGAUCGUCGGAACUGGGUAUAGGGGCGAAAGACUAAUCGAACCAUCUAGUAGCUGGUUCCCUCCGA